CGCUGGCGGCGUGCUUAACACAUGCAAGUCGAACGGGAUCCAUCAAGCUUGCUUGGUGGUGAGAGUGGCGAACGGGUGAGUAAUGCGUGACCGACCUGCCCCAUACACCGGAAUAGCUCCUGGAAACGGGUGGUAAUGCCGGAUGUUCCAGUUGAUCGCAUGGUCUUCUGGGAAAGCUUUCGCGGUAUGGGAUGGGGUCGCGUCCUAUCAGCUUGACGGCGGGGUAACGGCCCACCGUGGCUUCGACGGGUAGCCGGCCUGAGAGGGCGACCGGCCACAUUGGGACUGAGAUACGGCCCAGACUCCUACGGGAGGCAGCAGUGGGGAAUAUUGCACAAUGGGCGCAAGCCUGAUGCAGCGACGCCGCGUGAGGGAUGGAGGCCUUUCGGGUUGUAAACCUCUUUUAUCGGGGAGCAAGCGUGAGUGAGUGUACCUUUCGAAUAAGCACCGGCUAACUACGUGCCAGCAGCCGCGG
rnacentral:rRNA from 1 species